GUCUGGAUAGCUCAGUGGUCUAGAGCAGUUGCCCGGAAAGCGAAAGACUCGGGUUCGAUUCCAAAUCCAGCCA
rnacentral:tRNA from 1 species